rnacentral:rRNA from 1 species
UACGAACCGUACAAACGUUAUUCGGAAUCACUGGGCUUAAAGGGUGCGUAGGCGGCCAUGUAAGUGAGGAGUGAAAUCCCACGGCUCACCCGUGGAACUGCUGGGCAUACUGGCGAUCUUGGGCCAACUAGGGGCAGCCGGAACAAGCGGUGGAGCGGUGAAAUGCGUAGAUAUCGCUUGGAACGCCGAAGGUGAAAACAGGCUGCUGGGGUUGCGCCGACGCCGAGACACGAAAGCCAGGGGAGCAAACGGG